rnacentral:rRNA from 1 species
AUUGAACGCUGGCGGAAUGCUUUACACAUGCAAGUCGAGCGGCAGCGCGGGGGCAACCCUGGCGGCGAGCGGCGAACGGGUGAGUAACAUAUCGGAACGUACCCUGUCGUGGGGGAUAACUAUCCGAAAGGAUAGCUAAUACCGCAUACGACCUGAGGGUGAAAGCGGGGGACCGCAAGGCCUCGCGCGAUAGGAGCGGCCGAUAUCGGAUUAGCUAGUUGGUGAGGUAAAGGCUCACCAAGGCGACGAUCCGUAGCGGGUCUGAGAGGACGACCCGCCACACUGGAACUGAGACACGGUCCAGACUCCUACGGGAGGCAGCAGUGGGGAAUUUUGGACAAUGGGGGCAACCCUGAUCCAGCCAUUCCGCGUGAGUGAAGAAGGCCUCGGUUGUAAGUACGUCUUUCUACGUCAGGAACGAAACGGUAGAGGGUUAAGU